GGCCUAACACAUGCAAGUCGAACGCUCCGCAAGGGGAGUGGCGCACGGGAGAGUAACGCGUGGGAACCUACCUAUUGGUUCGGGACAACACCGGGAAACUGGUGCUAAUACCGGAUAAGCCCGAGAGGGGAAAGAUUUAUCACCGAUAGAUGGGCCCGCGUUAGAUUAGCUAGUUGGUGAGGUAAGAGCUCACCAAGGCGACGAUCUAUAGCUGGUCUGAGAGGAUGAUCAGCCUCACUGGGACUGAGACACGGCCCAGACUCCUACGGGAGGCAGCAGUGGGGAAUAUUGGACAAUGGGGGCAACCCUGAUCCAGCCAUGCCGCGUGAAUUAUCAAGGCCUUCGGGUUGUAAAGUUC
rnacentral:rRNA from 1 species